rnacentral:rRNA from 1 species
UACGUAGGGGGCUAGCGUUGUCCGGAAUCAUUGGGCGUAAAGAGCGUGUAGGCGGUCCGGUAAGUCCGUUGUGAAAGUCAGGGGCUCAACCCUUGAAUGCCGGCGGAUACUGUCGGGCUAGAGUCCGGAAGAGGCAAGUGGAAUUCCCGGUGUAGCGGUGAAAUGCGCAGAUAUCGGGAGGAACACCGGUGGCGAAGGCGGGACUCUGGGCCGAUACUGACGCUGAGGAGCGAAAGCGUGGGGAGCAAACAGG